rnacentral:rRNA from 1 species
CAGUCGCCACGGUAAUACGAAGGGGGCUAGCGUUGUUCGGAAUUACUGGGCGUAAAGCGCACGUAGGCGGAUACUUAAGUCAGGGGUGAAAUCCCGGGGCUCAACCCCGGAACUGCCUUUGAUACUGGGUAUCUCGAGUCCGGAAGAGGUGAGUGGAAUCCCGAGUGUAGAGGUGAAAUUCGUAGAUAUUCGGAGGAACACCAGUGGCGAAGGCGGCUCACUGGUCCGGUACUGACGCUGAGGUGCGAAAGCGUGGGGAGCAAACAGGAUUAGAUACCCGGGUAGUCCCUGUCUCUUAUAC